AGUAUCGAAAUUAGUGGGUUUAGGAAGUGAAAAUACUAGCGUGCUAGGUGAGAAGAAUUUGUUGAUCAGAUUUUUAUCGUCAACAUACCCUUUCACAAACUUGCCACUCGUGAAAUGUUGAACAUAAAAUCUCAAUUAGAAAUUUGGGUUUUAUCGCUUGUGAUCGACUCUUGUAAGUAGUUAGGUGACUUUGGUUCUGAGGAAUGCCUUUUAGCACACUUACCAUUCCAGCUGGACAUAAUUGAGAAGCUAAGUGCUCCAUGGUCGAUUGAAAGAGCUAAAUCCUUGACAGAUGAUACCAAGCAAAAUUCUGCUUUCGUAAGCUAGGCGUGUUUUUCACCAUGCAUGCUGGAAGAGAAGGUCUAGCAUGAAAGUGAAGAGCCAAUUAGGAUAGCCGAAGGAUGACGCCUAAAAACCACACAAUUUACUAUGAGUCAAACCCAUAAUUAAGAGUGAAUUUAGGCAAGUCAUCCUUGGCUACCAAAUCAGGCUCAUCAAUUUCAUACCAGGCCUCUCUUCCUUUCACU
rnacentral:lncRNA from 1 species